UAAAACACAGGCAAGCCUAAACAUGAUAUGAUAGUCCAUAAAAUGCCAAAUCAGUAACCUAUCAUUAUAACCUAACUUCCUUCACACGCUCUAACUUGGAGAAACGAACAGUUAGAUUGAUAACUUGGUCAACUCAACUUAGUUCCUCCCACCCAACCUCAACUUAGUAGCCAAAAAUGGCUGCUUUACACACCAUUUCUCCUCACGGUCUCUUUCCUCUUUCAAAAACCAACAAAACCAUUUCAAUCCUUCACACGCUCUAACUUGGAGAAACGAACAGUUAGAUUGAUAACUUGGUCAACUCAACUUAGUUCCUCCCACCCAACCUCAACUUAGUAGCCAAAAAUGGCUGCUUUACACACCAUUUCUCCUCACGGUCUCUUUCCUCUUUCAAAAACCAACAAAACCAUUUCAAAAAACCUGCAAAACCCUCAGUUUCUCAACCCAAAAUUACCAAAGAGUCAAUUUUUUUCCAGAAACAAACAGAGCUGGCACUUGAAUUCUAUUGUCUAAGAAGAGCUCAAUGUUAUUCCAGUACAAAGUGGUGACAAUGUAGACCAGCAUGAAGGGAUAGUAGAGAGUCAAGCAAAGAGAGAAGGGACAAAGUUGGCUACUCGGGUGAGUGGGUUUGGAGGGAGUGAAGGUAGUUUUCUUUUGAAGGGUUCUCUUUAGCUUCAAGUUCUGGUAUUGAUGGAGAGGAAAUUGGAAUCCGAGACGUUAAUUGAUAAGACCAUCAAUGCAAUGAUCGUUCUUGGUGUUGGUACUUAUUCUAUCACCAAGUUGCUCACAGUUGACCAUAAUUACUGGCAUGAAUGUUCUUCAUGCGUAGCAUUUCUUGACAAUUUCCCUUGGCGUUGGAGCAAAUUUGAUUCUGUUUCUUGUAUCACCUUCGGCUUUGAAUUUGUGUCCUCUGGCUUAAAGUUAUGCAAUUAAGAUAUGAUUUUAUGGAAGCCGAAGGUUUUAUUGGGGGUAUUAAGAAUGCUAGGAUUUUUUUUUUUGAUUUUUGUAAUAAAAGAAGUUUGGGACUUAUGGCUUAACAUAUGCAGCUUAUGACUUGUACAGAAGAUUCAUUAAAACCUUUGAUUCGUAUUCUGGUUUA